rnacentral:rRNA from 1 species
UUUGGCUCUGCGGUCGAUGAAGAACGGAGCUAACUCUGUGAUGCCGUGUGAACUGCAGGACACAUGAACAUCGACACUUUGAAUGCAUAUUGCGRAAUUGAGCUUGUCUCAAUUCCAUACCCGGCUCAGGGUCGGUUAAUCAGACAUCAGGCAGCUUGCUGUCUGCACAGAGCCUUCGCUUUGCCCUGGCACAGCGUGGCUUCAUGGUUUGUCGUGCGGAUUUCACCGACGUCRACUCUUGGGAGAAAUCCUGGGUGGUUGUCGGUGGCCGUGUGUGCAUGGUGCAGRGACUGUAGUUCUYGUCUCGUAAGCACCUACCUUUAAUUUUUCGACCUGAGAUUGGGUAAGGCUACCCGCCGAAUUUAAGCAUAUUAAUAAGCGGAGGAAAAGAAAACAACUGUGAUUCCCUUAGUAAUGGCGAAUGAA